rnacentral:lncRNA from 1 species
UGGCCACUAGCCCGAGUGGUUGACGUGAAUCUUAGUAGAGAUGGCCUAGUUAGAAGCUGUGUGAUCAGAACUAAAUCAGGUCAAUUAAUUAGGCCAGUUACUAAACUGUGUCUUCUUGAGGCUUCAAUGUAAAUUUGAUCCUAACAUUUUUCGAAGCUAAAUAAUAAUUAUAACAAACAAGUAAGAGCCAAGUUUUGUUGUACAAAUUGUUAUAAAUGCGCUACUUAUGAAUUGUCUUUAUGAAGCGUAGAUAAUUGUUUUUUGGUUAGAUUUCGUGCACCUUGCAUAGAUUAACUAAUUACGUGAAAUAUGUCAUCAACUUAAGAAUUAUUGAUUAUUGAUAAAGCAUGGAAGUGUAAUUUUUUGAAAAGUUUAUUUGUUAUGAAAUGUAUGUAAUUUCAUAGUGGGGACUGUUAGAAACAUAAAUGUAGUUUCUAAUAUUUGUUGUAUCUGACGCUAUUUAUUUGACGUCUGUUUGGCGUCUUCAGCCACGUGAUAAUUUGCGGCGUUCGUUGACGUCAACGUCAUACUUGUUUAUACUUCCGCCCAGACUUUGAAACGUUAACUGAACUGAACGUUAACUGUGGACAUUAAUUAUUCUGAUGAGACUUGAUGAGUAAGAGACCAAAUUCGAGAAUCGCUAUAUCUAGAGAAAUAAAAGAGUAAAGGCGCA